GUAGCUUGAGUAUUCACUACUACAAGAUUACUAACCAGUAUUGCGUUAUCGUGAAACAGGCGCAAAAUGAAUACACCAUUAGUCUUAAUCCUUUGCAUGUUGUUGGUAGCUAAUCACUCAGUUGAAGGAAAAAGGAAAUUGUUUCAUCAUUCAAAAUCCUGCUCUCGUGGAAGUGAUUCUGGAACAGAUAAAACAACAACAGCAUCUACUCCAAUGUCUACCGGAAGUGAACCGAUUAGGACUAUACUACCAGUAAUAGUAACUUUACCUAGAUAGA